rnacentral:rRNA from 1 species
AGAUUGAACGCUGGCGGCGUGCCUAACACAUGCAAGUCGAGCGGUAACAGGUGUAGCAAUACAUGCUGACGGGCGGCGAACGGGUGAGUAAUGCUUUGGAAUCUUCCCAGUAGUGGGGAAUAACCAGUCGAAAGAUUGGCUAAUACCGCAUACGUCUGUAAAGGGAAAGCGGGGGCUCGUAAGACCUCGCGCUAUUGGAUGAGCCAAAGUCGGAUUAGCUAGUUGGUGGGGUAAUGGCCUACCAAGGCGACAAUCCGUAGCUGGUCUGAGAGGACGACCAGCCACACCGGAACUGAGACACGGUCCGGACUCCUACGGGAGGCAGCAGUGGGGAAUAUUGGACAAUGGGGGAAACCCUGAUCCAGCGACGCCGCGUGUGUGAAGAAGGCCUGCGGGUUGUAAAGCACUUUUAGUGGGGACAAAAAGCUACGGAUUAAUACUCUGUGGUCUUGAUUUAACCCAAAGAAAAGCACCGGCUAACUCUGUGCCAGCAGCCGC